UUUCGAAACCUCAAGGCUUAAGCACAUAAGAUUUUGAAGCUUCUGAUUUCGAAAUUUGAUGAUUCUGAAUUCAAAAUCUGAAGGUUGAUGGUUUUGAUUUCUAAUUCUUAUUUGUAAAAAAUAGAAAUCGUUGGUAUUUGGUAAGAAUCGACUGCUAUCAUUGAAGAAGAAACAAAAUUAAGAACUGCAAUCAUUGAUCGUGUCUUUAAUAUUGGAAUAGAAUGGACUGAAUGGAUAUUAGCGUUCCUCCUUUAAUGAUGUUUCCUAUUACCCAUGCCUUCGUUAUUACUAAAGAAGAAACCGAAGAAUACGAUGAUGUCGGAGGGCAAGCGUUCUCUUUCUCAUGCUCUCCAUUAUUUCUUCAGUUAAUCCAUUCUAUAAACCCACAUUACCCUUUCUCAUAAUUUCCAUCCGAUGAUCAAUAACUGUACAUGUCACGCCACCUAGCCUGCUGCUUCCCUCUUCUUUUCCCUUCUUGAUCCAACGCUUCACUUAACUUCUCCUCUACCGCCUCUGUUUCUUGAAAUCGAAGCCUCUCACCCCAAACAUCAACUUAUACGCUCCAACCCUACUGAAGAGAAAACUUGAAAUAUUCUUUGGUCUGAUCUCAGCUAAUCAAACGUCCAGAACCAUGAAGCAAAGCAGAGAAUGAUUUUCAUCCCCUUUUUUCAUCGACAUGUCUGCUUUCACCCAAAUCGACGCCUCUCACAGGCGAUGGUCAUAGUGGAGGCUUAUGAAAGGGUUUAAUGAUCGGGAUAAUUCCAGUUACCUCCAAGGUUUUGGAACCAUGCGUAUAAACCACCUAAUUCUUGGAUUAGUUGCUGAAAUACAUGCAAUGCCAAAUCUCAAUUCUCAAGUUUUCAAUUGAAAUAUUGUUCAAGAAUCUUGAUUUGUACAUGAAGACAGGGUUAGGAAAAUUGAAGGAAACCCUGAUUUCUGUUGCUUCAUCUCAACAAAAUACUGUAAAUCAAGGAGUAUGACAACAAUUCUGAUGAGAAGUAUAUUCAGUUAGUUGCACAAAGUAUAGGUUCAUUAACUAGUACUGAUGCUGCAUUGGAUGAAUACCAAAUUCUUGCAAAUAAGGUUAAGGAGUAUGACAACAAUCCAAUAAAACCAUGUGUUCAAGUUGAUGAGUUUCAAUUCCAAUAAAACCAGGUGUCUAUGCUAUUUAAUGACUGGUUUUCCACUUUCAC